UAGAGUUUGAUCAUGGCUCAGAUUGAACGCUGGCGGCAUGCCUAACACAUGCAAGUCGAACGGAGGUAGGGGCAACUCUACUUCAGUGGCGGACGGGUGAGGAAUGCGUCGGAAUCUACCCUAUGGUGGGGGAUAACACAGGGAAACUUGUGCUAAUUCCGCAUGAUGUCGAGAGACCAAAGCAGGGGACCGCAAGGCCUUGCGCGAUAGGAUGAGCCGACGCCCGAUUAGCUAGUUGGUAGGGUAAAGGCCUCCCAAGGGUACGACGGGUAGCUGGUUUAAGAGGAUGGCCAGCCACACUGGAAAUGAGACCCGGUCCAGACUCCUACGGGAGGCAGCAGUGGGGAAUCUUGCGCAAUGGGGGAAAGCCUGAAGCAGCGCCGCCGCGUGGGUGACGAAGGCCUUCGGGUUGUAAAGCCCUGUGGGGUAGAAAGAAAAGGCAUCGGGCUAAUAUCCCGGUGUCUUGACGGUACUGCCUUAGCAAGCAUCGGCUAACUCUGUGCCAGCAGCCGCGGUAAU
rnacentral:rRNA from 1 species